rnacentral:rRNA from 1 species
GUUGUAUAGUCAAGUAAUUAAGUGCAUGUGGUGGAUGCCUUGGCAGUCAGAGGCGAUGAAAGACGUGAUAGCCUGCGAAAAGCUCCGGGGAGGCGGCAAAUAUCCUUUGAUCCGGAGAUGUCUGAAUGGGGGAACCCACCUACUUUAAGGUAGGUAUUGCAACAUGAAUACAUAGUGUUGCAAGGCGAACGAGGGGAAGUGAAACAUCUCAGUACCCUUAGGAAAAGAAAUCAAUUGAGAUUCCCUCAGUAGCGGCGAGCGAACGGGGAUCAGCCCAUUAAGUUAUGUGUGUUUUAGUGGAACGCUCUGGGAAGUGCGAACGUAGAGGGUGAUAUUCCCGUACACGAAAGGGCACACAUAAUGAUGACGAGUAGGGCGAGGCACGUGAAACCUUGUCUGAAUAUGGGGGGACCAUCCUCCAAGGCUAAAUACUCCUGACUGACCGAUAGUGAACCAGUACCGUGAGGGAAAGGCGAAAAGAACCCCUGUGAGGGGAGUGAAAUAGAUCCUGAAACCGCAUGCAUACAAGCAGUGGGAGCACCUUCGUGGUGUGACUGCGUACCUUUUGUAUAAUGGGUCAGCGACUUAUAUUCAGUAGCAAGGUUAACCGUAUAGGGGAGCCGUAGAGAAAUCGAGUCUUAAUAGGGCGUUUAGUUGCUGGGUAUAGACCCGAAACCAGGCGAUCUAUCCAUGAGCAGGUUGAAGGUUGGGUAACACUAACUGGAGGACCGAACCCACUGUCGUUGAAAAGCCAGGGGAUGACUUGUGGAUAGGGGUGAAAGGCUAAUCAAGCCUGGUGAUAGCUGGUUCUCCCCGAAAGCUAUUUAGGUAGCGCCUCGGACGAAUACCAUAGGGGGUAGAGCACUGUUUCGGCUAGGGGGUCAUCCCGACUUACCAAACCGAUGCAAACUCCGAAUACCUAUGAGUACUAUCCGGGAGACAGACUGCGGGUGCUAACGUCCGUAGUCAAGAGGAAAACAAUCCAGACCGCCAGCUAAGGCCCCAAAAUCAUAGUUAAGUGGGAAACGAUGUGGGAAGGCAUAGACAGCUAGGAGGUUGGCUUAGAAGCAGCCACCCUUUAAAGAAAGCGUAAUAGCUCACUAGUCGAGUCGGCCUGCGCGGAAGAUGUAACGGGGCUAAAACUAUGUGCCGAAGCUGCGGAUNNNNNNNNNNNNNNNNNNNNNNNNNNNAUGCUGGAGGUAUCAGAAGUGCGAAUGCUGACGUGAGUAACGACAAAACGGGUGAAAAACCCGUUCGCCGAAAGACCAAGGGUUCCAGUCCAACGUUAAUCGGGGCUGGGUGAGUCGACCCCUAAGGCGAGGCCGAAAGGCGUAGUCGAUGGGAAAAUGGUUAAUAUUCCAUUACUUCUGUGUAAUGCGAUGAGAGGACGGAGAAGGCUAAAUCAGCCUGGCGUUGGUUGUCCAGGUGAAAGGAUGUAGGCAUGUAUCUUAGGCAAAUCCGGGGUACUCUAUGCUGAGAUCUGAUAGCAAGCUGUACUUGUACAGCGAAGUGGUUGAUGCCAUGCUUCCAGGAAAAGUCUCUAAGCUUCAGUUACACAGGAAUCGUACCCGAAACCGACACAGGUGGUCAGGUCGAGUAGACCAAGGCGCUUGAGAGAACUCUGCUGAAGGAACUAGGCAAAAUGGUACCGUAACUUCGGGAGAAGGUACGCUGUUGUUGGUGAUGGAACUCGCUUCCUGAGCUGACGACAGCCGCAGAAACCAGGCCGCUGCAACUGUUUAUUAAAAACAUAGCACUCUGCAAACACGAAAGUGGACGUAUAGGGUGUGAUGCCUGCCCGGUGCUGGAAGGUUAAUUGAUGGGGUUAGCGUAAGCGAAGCUCUUGAUCGAAGCCCCAGUAAACGGCGGCCGUAACUAUAACGGUCCUAAGGUAGCGAAAUUCCUUGUCGGGUAAGUUCCGACCUGCACGAAUGGCAUAAUGAUGGCGGCGCUGUCUCCAGCAGAGGCUCAGUGAAAUCGAAAUCGCUGUGAAGAUGCAGUGUACCCGCGGCUAGACGGAAAGACCCCGUGAACCUUUACUGCAGCUUGACACUGAACUUUGACCUUACUUGUGUAGGAUAGGUGGGAGGCUUUGAAGCUGGAACGCUAGUUCCAGUGGAGCCGUCCUUGAAAUACCACCCUGGUAAUGUUGAGGUUCUAACUCUGUCCCGUGAUCCGGGACGAGGACCGUGUCUGGUGGGUAGUUUGACUGGGGCGGUCUCCUCCUAAAGAGUAACGGAGGAGUACGAAGGUGCGCUCAGCGUGGUCGGAAAUCACGCGUAGAGUAUAAAGGCAAAAGCGCGCUUAACUGCGAGACCCACAAGUCGAGCAGGUACGAAAGUAGGUCUUAGUGAUCCGGUGGUUCUGUAUGGAAGGGCCAUCGCUCAACGGAUAAAAGGUACUCUGGGGAUAACAGGCUGAUACCGCCCAAGAGUUCAUAUCGACGGCGGUGUUUGGCACCUCGAUGUCGGCUCAUCUCAUCCUGGGGCUGAAGCAGGUCCCAAGGGUAUGGCUGUUCGCCAUUUAAAGAGGUACGCGAGCUGGGUUUAGAACGUCGUGAGACAGUUCGGUCCCUAUCUACCGUGGGCGCUGGAAAUUUGAGAGGAUCUGCUCCUAGUACGAGAGGACCAGAGUGGACGAACCUCUGGUGUACCGGUUGUGACGCCAGUCGCAUCGCCGGGUAGCUAUGUUCGGAAGGGAUAACCGCUGAAAGCAUCUAAGCGGGAAGCCUACCUCAAGAUAAGAUUUCCCUAGGACUUUAUGUCCUCUAAAGAGCCGUUCGAGACUAGGACGUUGAUAGGUUGGAUGUGGAAGCAUAGUGAUAUGUGAAGCUGACCAAUACUAAUUGCUCGUGAGGCUUGACUAUACAACACCCAAGCAGUUG